rnacentral:rRNA from 1 species
GGGGGUAUUGCACCUACCGAAGACUAUCAAACUCCGAAUGCCGUCAUCUUAUACUUGGGAGUCAGACUGUGGGUGAUAAGAUUCAUAGUCGAAAGGGCAACAGCCCAGAUCGUCAGCUAAGGUCCCUAAAUGUAAGUUAAGUGGUAAAGGAUGUGGGAUUGCACAGACAACCAGGAUGUUGGCUUAGAAGCAGCCACUCAUUCAAAGAGUGCGUAAUAGCUCACUGGUCGAGUGAUCCUGCGCCGAAGAUUUCCGGGGCUAAAACUUACUACCGAAGCUACGGCAUCAUUAUGAUGGGUAGGGGAGCUUCCCAUACGGGUUGAAGCAUGACCGUAAGGACAUGUGGACAGUAUGGGAGUGAGAAUGUUGGCAUGAGUAGCGAGAUGUGGGUGAGAAUCCCACAGGCCGUAAACCCAAGGUUUCCAGGGGAAGGUUCGUCCGCCCUGGGUUAGUCGGGACCUAAGCUGAGGCCGAAAGGCGUAGGUGAUGGACAACAGGUUGAUAUUCCUGUACUACCGAUAACCGUUUGAGAGAAGGGAUGACACAGUAGGAUAAGCUAAGCACACUGUUGGUUAUGUGUGCCCAAGCAUUGAGGCAGUCAAAGCAGGCAAAUCCGCUUUGAUAAUGCUGGGAUGUGAUGGGGAGCGAAAUUUAGUAGCGAAGUAGCUGAUUUCACACUGUCAAGAAAAGUCUCUAUCGAGGUUAAAGGUACCCGUACCGCAAACCGACACAGGUGGGUGAGGAGAGUAUCCUAAGGCCAGCGAGAGAACUGUUGUUAAGGAACUCGGCAAAAUGACCCCGUAACUUAGGGAUAAGGGGUGCCACCAUCCGGUGGCCGCAGAGAAUAGGCCCAAGCGACUGUUUACCAAAAACAUAGGUUUCUGCUAAGUCGCAAGACGAUGUAUAGGAGCUGACGCCUGCCCGGUGCUGGAAGGUUAAGGGGAUCUGUUAGAGCAAUCGAAGCAGUGAACUUAAGCCCCAGUAAACGGCGGCCGUAACUAUAACGGUCCUAAGGUAGCGAAAUUCCUUGUCGGGUAAGUUCCGACCCGCACGAAAGGCGUAACGAUUUGGGCACUGUCUCAACAACAGACUCGGUGAAAUUGUAAUUCCGGUGAAGAUGCCGGAUACCUGCGACAGGACGGAAAGACCCCAUGGAGCUUUACUGUAGCUUGACAUUGGGUCUUGGUACUACAUGUACAGGAUAGGUGGGAGGCUUUGAAACCAGGACGCCAGUUUUGGCGGAGCCAUCCUUGGGAUACCACCCUUGUAGUACUGGGACUCUAACCAUAGGCCAUGAAUCUGGUCUUGGGACACUGUCAGGUGGGCAGUUUGACUGGGGCGGUCGCCUCCCAAAAGGUAACGGAGGCGCUCAAAGGUUCUCUCAGUACGGUCGGAAAUCGUACGUAGAGUGUAAAGGCAAAAGAGAGCUUGAUUGCAAGACAUACAGGUCGAGCAAGGAUGAAAAUCGGACUUAGUGAUCCGGUGGUUCUGCGUGGAAGGGCCAUCGCUCAACGGAUAAAAGCUACCCUGGGGAUAACAGGCUUAUCUCCCCCAAGAGUCCACAUCGACGGGGAGGUUUGGCACCUCGAUGUCGGCUCAUCACAUCCUGGGGCUGUAGUAGGUCCCAAGGGUUGGGCUGUUCGCCCAUUAAAGUGGUACGCGAGCUGGGUUCAGAACGUCGUG